CUGCCUAGCUGGUUUGCUGGUUGUUUUCUGGUUUUUUAGUCUCCUCCUCCGCCUCCUGCAGCCGACUUCUACCGGAAUUUGCCAGGAUUUCGGCAGAAACGCCGCUGGCUCAAAAUCUGCAGUCUACGUUCCACCUGCGUACAUAUUCAUUUUGUAUCGCACUCCCAAACAGCAAACGGCGGACUUGUUUAGAUUCUUCCUUAAGGACUUCGCAGUCUGUUGCGUUCCCCCUGCCUCCCAGGUCGGCCUAAAAACGUGGUGGUUGGCCGGUUGAGACCCCGAAGAGAAAAGAUACUUUGGGUUCCCUCCCUUUCUAAUACGAAGCUUUAACCAGACAGAUACAUAAAUUGUGACCUAAGUUGGGGAGUGUGUAGAGGGGCCUCGAGAAGACCUUGCGGACCACCAUUCCCGAAAACGAGGAGCCUCAUCUAACCACCUCGAUUAGACCCCACAAUUCCUGGGUUUGAGCUGCCACAUGGACCAGGCGCCCACUAGCCGAGGACAAUGCUCCCUUGUUCGUUGUUUCAGCGCUAUGUGGGUGACACCCACAGCUAGAAGAACCCGGAGUGAGGGGAAGAACACGCUUUGAUUUAUAUAUGUGUAUAUAUAUAUAUACAGUUUUAGGGAACCCAAGCACAGGAAUCAACUGCCGAGCACUCAAGACUGAAGAAAGAAGAAGAGCAAAUGAUAAAGGAAGGGAACAGAGCACAAAAGUUCUUGACUCUUGUGGGGAGUAGGGUGGAGAGGAGUAAAAGGGACAGGCUAGAGCAACUCCUAUUUCUACAAAAAAAAUACUCAAUUAUAUUAAUAUUCAGAUCUUAUGUAUAUUUAGCAUCCCUGCACUUCAGGAUUUAAAUAGCACAAAUUCACUUAUUUCUGCAUCAGAUGAAUAAUACUACUUUGCAUUUCUAUAAUGCUUGACAAAGCACAUUCGUACACUUUAGGAUUGAAAGAGGCUCUCUAAUCCAAUCUACUAUCUAUGCAGGGAUCUCCUCUGCAACACCCAUAACAGCUGAUCUUCAAGACUCUACCCCCCCAUAUUCAAUGAUGGGUACCUCAAACAACAAGUUUUAUUUAAUGAACAACUUAUUCGUUAGUUAUUAUAUUUAAAUACAGUUUUGUGCUAUCGAAAUUCCAGUCAUUGACUUGGCUCUCUGGA
rnacentral:lncRNA from 1 species